GCGGGUAAAAGGGGUCUCGAGCUACUGGGGAGUGUCCAGGGGAGGGACCUGAAGUCGGUGGAGGCUGAAGUCGAAGUGGCUGAAGUCACUCGGUCUGUUCAGCCUGGAGGAGACCAAGGGGAGACCUCGUUGUGGUCUGCAGUUUCCUCACCAGAGGAGAAGAAGGAGGAGCAGGCGCUGAGCUCUUCUCUCUGGUGACCGAUGGCAGAACCUGAGGGAAUGGCAGGAAGAUGAGCCAGGGGAGGUUUAGGUUGGAUUUUAGGUAAAAUUUCCUCACUCAGAGGGUGGUGGAGCACUGGAACAGUUCCUCAGGGAAACAGUUCUAACGUCCAGCCUGAUAAUACUCAGAAAGCGUUUGGACAAUGACCUCAGAGACAGGGUGUGAAUGUUGGGGCUGUCCUGAGCAGGGACAGGAGUUGGACCCAAUGUUCCUUGUGGGUCCCUUCCAACUCAGGACAUUCUAUGAUUCUAUGGUGACACCUGCCACCUUCUACCCCUCAGGCCCUGCCGCUGCAGGGUCACCUCCAGGUGCUGCCACAGAGAUGGUGGGAGGCAGGAGGCUGCAGGACGCUUCUCAGCAGCAGACACACUCACAGUACCCCCUCCUUCUCCCUGCGCUGUGACAGCACCUGCCCUCGGCUCCCAACAGCAGCCCGUUAGCUUUUACAACCAAUUUUGCCUUGGAGAUGCUUUCCGCUUCCCAAUUAACAGUGUUACAUCUGUAUUUUGCAAUGCUCUGUUUGUUCCCUUUUGCCUCCAAGGCACUACGCCAGCUGAUGCUUGCACACACAGACUGAAUUCCUUUCAGUGUGUUCUUGCAUGUUAGAACACUGUGCUAGUGCAGGUGAACCCACGCUUUGUCUCCAAAUAACCGACUGAAGGAUUUAUGCCUGUUUAAAGUUUAAUUCACUGAAAGCUUCUUUUUAAGAACGUGUAUGUUGGUAACUAUAAACCCAGGCAUGUCCCGUUCAGUGUCAUCAAACCAACCAGAAAAGAAGACUGAAAAGAACUUGCGAGAUGCUCUAAGAUGAGAUGUUGGCUGCAAGGAAAAACUUUGUCAAAGACAUGGUGAGAUGGUUCACAUGACUCGCGAGCUGCCACAGGUGAACAUAGUCUCUUCAGGACAGACAGGCUGCAAAGGGUGUGAGAGCUGCUGUGGACCACGCUGCUGUCUCCCAGAUGGUUGCUCCAAGGAAGCAGUUUCAGAUCCUCAAGCCAGCAGUGCCGAAUCUCAAAGCCACACAGUGCAGGAGUUUUUAUCCAG